GCUCAGGAUGAACGCUGGCGGCGUGCCUAAUACAUGCAAGUCGAGCGAACUGAUUAGAAGCUUGCUUCUAUGACGUUAGCGGCGGACGGGUGAGUAACACGUGGGCAACCUGCCUGUAAGACUGGGAUAACUUCGGGAAACCGAAGCUAAUACCGGAUAGGAUCUUCUCCUUCAUGGGAGAUGAUUGAAAGAUGGUUUCGGCUAUCACUUACAGAUGGGCCCGCGGUGCAUUAGCUAGUUGGUGAGGUAACGGCUCACCAAGGCAACGAUGCAUAGCCGACCUGAGAGGGUGAUCGGCCACACUGGGACUGAGACACGGCCCAGACUCCUACGGGAGGCAGCAGUAGGGAAUCUUCCGCAAUGGACGAAAGUCUGACGGAGCAACGCCGCGUGAGUGAUG
rnacentral:rRNA from 2 species